GAUGAAGAACGUAGCGAAAUGCGAUAAGUAAUGCGAAUUGCAGAAUUCAGUGAAUCAUCGAAUCUUUGAACGCACAUUGCGCCCGCCAGUAUUCUGGCGGGCAUGCCUGUCUGAGCGUCGUUUCGACCCUCGCGCCCGGCUUCUGUCGGGGGCGGUGUUGGGGAUCGGCCACACCCUUCAGUGGGAGGCCGGCCCCUAAAUUCAGUGGCGACCACGCUGUAGCCUCCCCUGCGUAGUACUAAAACCACCUCGCAGGCGGAGAGCGGUGCGGCCCGCCGUAAAACCCCCCAACUUUUAAAAGGUCGACCUCAGAUCAGGUAGGAAUACCCGCUGAACUUAAGCAUAUCAAUAAGCGGAGGA
rnacentral:misc_RNA from 1 species